rnacentral:rRNA from 1 species
GAUGAACGCUGGCGGCGUGCUUAACACAUGCAAGUCGAACGGGAAACCUUUUAUUGAAGCUUCGGCAGAUUUAGCUGGUUUCUAGUGGCGGACGGGUGAGUAACGCGUGGGUAACCUGCCUUAUACAGGGGGAUAACAACCAGAAAUGGUUGCUAAUACCGCAUAAGCGCACAGGACCGCAUGGUCCGGUGUGAAAAACUCCGGUGGUAUAAGAUGGACCCGCGUUGGAUUAGCUAGUUGGCAGGGUAACGGCCUACCAAGGCGACGAUCCAUAGCCGGCAUGAGAGGGUGAACGGCCACAUUGGGACUGAGACACGGCCCAGACUCCUACGGGAGGCAGCAGUGGGGAAUAUUGCACAAUGGGGGAAACCCUGAUGCAGCGACGCCGCGUGAAGGAAGAAGUAUCUCGGUAUGUAAACUUCUAUCAGCAGGGAAGAUAGUGACAGUACCUGACGAAGAAGCCCCGGCUAACUACGUG